GGGUCCGGACACACUGAGGAUUGACAGGCAAAAGAUACAAGUUUUCUUUGUGAGAGCUUGCAUUGUAAAAUAUGCGAGUCCUUUCAUGAUUAUGUGAUAGGUGGUGCAUGGCCGUUCUUAGUUCGUGGAGUGAUCUGUCUGCUUAAUUGCGUUUCACAACGAUUUAAAAUGCUAUGUUUUCUGUGUUUGCUGUUCGGUUUUAGCUCUUACGGGAGUUUUUAACUUUGAACGCACACGGCGUAGCUUAAAACAAUCGGAAAGCAACGAACGUGACCGCGACCUCUUGUUGCCUUUAUUUUUAAAAGCGUGGAAAAUUUUAUAUUUUCCUACGCUUGAAAAAGGCUUUAAAACUAGAGGGACCGCUGUUCUAUUCUCUUAAACCAGAGGAAGAUUGCGGCAAUAACAGGUCUGUGAUGCCCUCAGAUGUUCCGGGCUGCACACGUGCUACAAUGAUUGUUGCAGUGAGCAUCUAUUUUCAAACGCUACCGUUGCGGAUUUUGUGAGAAGGGGGCUUGUUUUAAAGCUUUCGGGUGGAGAAGCAGGUUUCUUUUUUUCACAAUUUAUUCCGCGUUACGUGUCAGCUAAACCUGCUUCGAAAGCAAGUAGGU
rnacentral:rRNA from 1 species